rnacentral:lncRNA from 1 species
GAUACUUUUAUUUAAUCGUUUAUUUGUUUCGUCUUUAUAGAGCUAUGCGGUGGAGUGCGUUUAUAAGUAUCCAACGAGAGUUCGAGUCGUCGAAGUGGGACCGAGAGACGGACUCCAAAACGAAUCUAAAAUCAUACCGACGGACGUUAAAGUAGAGUUCAUCAACAGACUAUCCGCGACCGGACUUAAAAAUGUUGAAGCUACUAGGUACAUUUUGAGUAAAAUCCGAGUGUUUUUUUUCGUUUAUUCUAACAUUUAUUUUGAUACAAUUUUAGUUUCGUUUCACCGAAAUGGGUACCCCAAAUGGCCGAUCAUUCGGACGUAUACAGCAAAAUUAACAAAGUCCCCGGUGUCUCGUAUCCAGUUCUAGUGCCGAACAUGAGAGGUCUGCUUACAGCAGUACGUAUAUUAAAAUUAUUUGACGGUAAAAACAAUAAACAGUCACCUAUAAAUAGGAUAACUAUGUGCCUAAGAUCUAAAUAACACAAAAAGAAUCUAGUUGACAGGAGAUUUAAACUAUGGGAAAUAAUUUGCCUAUAAUUAUUAUAGUUGCUAAAGAGAUCUAAAUCACUUAGAUUCCCAGUUAGCUAGAUCCUCAUGAGUCAAUUAGUUCCUCACGAGAUGUAUAAUUAACCUGGGAUUUAUAGUUUACCAAAGACCGCGAUAUUUUUUUGCUAACGAAACCGUUUUUAUAGAUGCAACACGAUGUCAAAGAAAUCGCUGUAUUUGGAUCCGCCUCUGAAGGUUUUAGUCGAAAGAACAUCGGUUGCAGCGUAGCCGAGAGUCUUGAGAGAUUCGAAGACGUGGUAUCCACUGCUUUAGACCAUGGUAUCAAAGUCCGCGGAUACGUUUCCUGUGUUUGCGGAUGUCCGUACGAUGGAGCUGUGUCACCCCAAAACGUUGCGAGGGUAAAAUGAUACACCUUUAGUACCUUUUAUAUUCUUUAUAAGUUUC